CUGGCGGCGUGCCUAAUACAUGCAAGUCGAACGGACGAUGGGGGCUUCGGCCCCAAAGUUAGUGGCGAACGGGGUGAGUAACGCGUGAGCAACCUGACUCAAAGAGGGGGGACAACAGCUGGAAACGGCUGCUAAUACCGCAUAAGACCACAGCGCGGCAUCGCAAAGGGGUCAAAGAAUUAUCGCUUUGAGAGGGGCUCGCGUCCCAUUAGAUAGUUGGUGAGGUAACGGCCCACCAAGUCCGCGAUGGGUAGCCGAGCUGAGAGGCUGAUCGGCCACACUGGAACUGAGACACGGUCCAGACUCCUACGGGAGGCAGCAGUAGGGAAUAUUGGGCAAUGGGCGCAAGCCCUGACCCAGCAACGCCGCGUGAGGGAAGAAGGUUUUCGGAUUGUAAACCUCUGUCCUAUGUGACGAAGGAAGUGACGGUAGCAUAGGAGGAAGCCCCGGCUAACUACGUGCCAGCCGCCGC
rnacentral:rRNA from 1 species